AAGCGCUCAUGACCAGACUUGGGCCCGGUGAAUCAUCCAGCGUUCUCGCUGGUGCACUUUGCCGGGCUCAGGCCAGCAUCAGUUUGCUUCGGGGGAUAAAGGCUUUGGGAAUGUGGCUCCUCCGGGAGUGUUAUAGCCCUCGGUGCAAUGCCCCCGCGGGGACCGAGGACCGCGCUUCGGCAAGGAUGCUGGCGUAAUGGUCAUCAGCGA
rnacentral:rRNA from 1 species